AGGACGAACGCUGGCGGCGUGCUUAACACAUGCAAGUCGAGCGGUAAGGCCUCCUUCGGGGGGUACACGAGCGGCGAACGGGUGAGUAACACGUGGGUGACCUGCCCUCAGCUCUGGGAUAAGCCUGGGAAACCGGGUCUAAUACCGGGUGGGACUGCUUGCCGCAUGGUGGGUGGUGGAAAGUUUUUUCGGCUGGGGAUGGGCCCGCGGCCUAUCAGCUUGUUGGUGGGGUGAUGGCCUACCAAGGCGGUGACGGGUA
rnacentral:rRNA from 1 species